AGUUCCCAUUGUGGUUCAGCAGUAAUGAACCCAGCUAGUAUUCAUGAAGAUGCAGUUAAAUGCCUGGCCCCAUUCAGUGUGUUAAGGUCCCACAUCACCAUGAGCUGUAGUGUAAGUCGCAGAUGCAGCUCAGCCUGCAUUGCUAUGGCUGUGGUGUAGCCGGCAGCCACAGCUCCUAUUUAUCCCCCAGCCUGGGAACUUCCAUAUGCCAUAGGUAUGGCCUAAAAAGACCAAAAAAGAAAGAAAAAGAAAAAGGAGGAGUGUUUCCAAAGAAGAUAUCUUGUCUGUGUUCUGAUUCUGUCGAAUCCCACUGGACAUCUAUCUUUGGGUAUCCCACCAGUAUCUCAAACUCAGCAUUUCCACCCCACCCCAAACUUGUGUUUCUGUCUCAGCUUCCUUUCUUAACAAAUGGCACCAUAAUCCACCUACAUUCCUAAACCAAAAAUCUGGGCAGGAUGCUGAAUCAUGUCAUUUCUUUAUCCUCUCAUUCUAUUGCCAAGUUCUGUUCAUUGUGUUUUUUAAAAAUAGGAAUAUUACAUUUCUCCUGAGAAUCUUACCCUGAGAACCGAAGUCCAGGUUGGCUGCCCUGCUGUAUCAAUCAGUAUCCCAUUAGGAAGAGAGAAAUUCCAGCAGGUAUUACAGCAUAGGGGAUUUAAUACAAGGAAUAAACUACACAGAGCAAGAAUUGAGAAGUUGAGGCAGCUGAAAGAAUGACAGGAAGCUAACUACCACCUCUAGAGAUUGAGGAACAACUCAAAGAUAUGUCAUCACUAGAACCAGGGGUAUACUGGUUAGUGGUUAAUAUCCUGCUCUCUGAGGAAUAUCAAAACUUGUUUGUCAAUUUCUAUGAUGUAAAUAUCCCACCAUGGCUGGUUUCAAGUUACCAACUCAACAUUAAAUACAGAGUAGGGAAGAGAUGCACAGAUGCAGUCCUUCUGAGCUGGCAUACCAGAAACCAGAAGCUGGACUGCUCAAGCAGAAUUUGGAGCUGUGGAGGAGAGGCAGCUAUUUCCAAAGAGGCUACCUAAGUAGGACAAAGAGAUAGAUACCUUGAGUUCUCCAAUUCUUCACCUGCCAUUCUCUUUUCAGUGCCCCUCUUUGGCCCAAAGCAGCCAAAUUCAAGCUUAGCCUGGAAAUGCAGCCUAAAAGUUGGGAUUUCCUCAGACACAGAUUGGAGCCCAGAAAGGCAAGGAAUGUACACAAAAUCAGAUGAGUAAGACUAAUGGAUCACUUCCUCCUCCAUUAAAACUGGUCCAUAAGCUGUCAGAGGACAGGGACCCCUUCAAACUUCAGAGUCUGGCAUUCUAUCAGCAUCAUAUAUUUUGCAGAAUAAGUGAAUGACUGAUUAGCAGAUAUAACAUCAGAAUUUAAUAAGCAGAAAAUCUAUGCCUCUUCGUGUAUAUAUGACUUGCUGUCAAAUAGCCACAUUUAUUGAUGUAGUGGAGCUGUAACUUGACACAAUAGCAUAUAACAGUGUUAUACUGUUUGACUUUUUAAAAAUUCCCAUUAGUGCCUUAGCCCUUUGAUCCCAUCACAUACAACUUGUGGGAAAACAGGAAGCUUUUGUUUGAUCUAGUAACUCUUGCUAUUUGAAAAUUUCCAAAUUAUUCGCACAUCUAUGCUUUAGCAAUUAUCUUUAACCUAGUGCAUUCUGCAAGUUUCCCUUUCCAGAUGGUUCUGACAACUCCAAAGACCUUGGUUAAAAAUCUUCAUCUCUAUUGCUUGUUCCUGCCAGUGGACAAAAGGUUUCAAUUUUCACCAGUCUCCUGCCUGAUCCAACUUCUAUUUCUAACUACAUUCAGCGGUCAAAUAUAUUUCAUCUGAAGGACUAUCUGUGGUAGAAUUUUCCUGCGGAUCUUAUCCCAGUGGAGCCUCUGCUUCAUGUGGCUACUUUUGUUCAAAAAUGUAUUCUGAAUGAUUUGUAAGUCUUGUCAAAGAUAAACAAAACCGUACACUAGCUAUGACGGUAAGGACGGAACUUAUUUGGUAAUAUGUCACUGUGAUAGGGAAAAGAGUCCGAGAGCAGACUGUCCUCAACUUUGAUUUGCAUAGUGGUGACUGGAUAUUUUCGAGGAAGAAUGAGGAAAUAAAGAGAGGAGUGAGCAGGGAUUCAACAGAGCAAGGAAGAGAAGAACUGUAAAAAACAAGAAAAGGAGGUUGGUGCAUGUGAAACACAAGUGGGUUUAUUAACUGGCUUAUAGAAGUUAGCUCCUACCUGCCCAGAGAGGGCAGGAGACAAAGGCCUUGUUUUCAGGUGUUGGUUGGAAAAAACAGUCUUAGGGCAGCUAUGAGUUCUCUCAGGUAGGCUCUUUAUUUUUUAAUUAAUUAAUUAUUUAUUUAUUUAUUUAUUUUGCUUUUUUAGGCCCAAACCUACACUAUAUGGAAGUUCCCAGGCUAGGGGUCCAAUUAGAGCUGCAGUUUUCAACCUACACCACAGACACAGCAACAUGGCAUCCGAACCUCAUGUGCAACCUACACCAUAGCUCAGGGCAAUGCUGGAUCCCUGACCCACUGAACAAGGCCAGGGUUCAAACCUGCGUAGUCAUGGAUACUAGCCUGGUUCUUAACCCACUAAGCUACAACAGGAACUCUUCAGGCAGGCACUUUAAGGGGGGACCCGGGUCACUGAGCUAUAAAAAACCAUGUUAAUGUUUUGUUCAAGUUGUUACAGGCCAAGGUUGGGUCUGAUCCAGAAUAGUGCUCAGAGGAGCCAGGCUAGAGUUUGGCCAAAGAGUCUUUGUCAAAGUACAUUCUGCGCUCUUCACUCUCACCAGAUCCCUCUCCACCAGAUCCCUCUCUGUUGGAAAGGCAGCAGGUCAUCACAGUCAGAGUUAUGUGCCUCCCCUCCCCAUCUUACAGCAUAAACUAUCUAAGAGCAGGGCCUAGGGGUGCUUUCCUUUCCACCUACUGCUGUGAAUGUAUCCUUUUUUUUCACAUUCAUUGCCACCUAGGGAUGGACCAAGUGGUGGGUGAGGUCUUCCUCAGGGGCAGGCAGUAAAGGGGUGUAUAUAGUCUCGGCAAAUUUUAAAACAUCUGAUUUUCAUUAUUAUCGCUCUUAACAAGGUCUGUGACAAAAAUCCUCCUCCCUCCAAUCUGUCAUUGAUCUGAAUUCUGAGUAGAUUCUCUGGCUACGGUAAGGUUUUGGUAAUAAUGUUUCUAAGCUUCCAAUUAGCACAUUUUUAUUACCUAUCCUUUAAUAAAUAUUGUAUUUUUACAGGGAGGUUCAUUUGGAGAAUUCCCAGUUGUACAGUCAGCUUUUAACAUGUAUGGACUCAGCAUAAGCUUUCAUUUUAAAAUAACUUUAUAAUGGUUCAGAAAUCAGUUGAGCUCUCUUUGGAUGCUGAAGGUAUCUUUCAGUCUUUCAUUUAAACAGUAGAUUCAAAAUAAAUGAUGACGGCCCAUCUAUUGUAAAAGAAGCAGAACCUGAGUUUCUUUAAUUCUGUCAUUCUCUGUGACGACUUGGAGUCUAUACUUGUGUAAAAACAUUACAAAAGUGAAAUGGAAUGUGGACCAUUAAGUAAAACAUUCCAGUUGCUAAGUUUAAUUUUUAAUUUAUACAAAUUGAAUAGUACCUUUAAAAUUGUAAUUUAUUUUUUAAUUCGUAAUAGUUUUAAAACUAAAAAAUGAAUCAAGAAAACCAAAUGUCCCAAUAGUUUUGUCACUGUUUUUGCCUACAUUUGGUUUUAAUUAAAUUCAUUAACUAAUUGUCAGAAAAUUACUUACAUAAGAUACUAUGAUAGAAUUAUAACCAGAUUAGAUUAAAGUUUAAACUGUCAAAUAGAUAUAAAAGCAACUGAAUGGAGUUCCCAUCAUGGAUCAGCAGAAACAAAUCUGACUAGCAUAACACAGCUUCCAUCCUUGGCCUCACUCAGAGAGUUAAGGAUCCAGCAUUGCCGUGAGCUGUGAUAUAGGUCCCACACACAGCUCGGAUUCCCAGUUGCUGUGGCAGUGGCAUUGGCCAGUGGCUACAGCUCCGAUUUGACUCCCUAGCCUGGGAACUUCCAUAUGCC
rnacentral:lncRNA from 1 species